AUUGAACGCUGGCGGCAGGCUUAACACAUGCAAGUCGAACGAGUGGCGGACGGGUGAGUAAUGCUUGGGAAUCUGCCUUAUGGAGGGGGAUAACUACGGGAAACGGUAGCUAAUACCGCGUACCAUAGGAUGAGCCCAGAUGGGAUUAGGUAGUUGGUGGGGUAAAGGCUCACCAAGCCGACGAUCCCUAGCUGGUCUGAGAGGAUGACAAUGCACAAUGGGACUGAGACACGGCCCAGACUCCUACGGGAGGCAGAAGUGGGGAAUAUUGCGCAAUGGGGGCAAGCCUGAGGCAGCCAUGCCGCGUGAAUGAAGAAGGCCUUCGGGUUGUAAAGUACUUUCAGUGGGGAGGCGUUACCGGCAGAAGAAGCACCGGCUAACUCCGUGCCAGCAGCCGCGGUAAUUC
rnacentral:rRNA from 1 species